GUAUGAGUGCUUCUAAUUUCCAUUUACAGGACAGUCCAUGCCCUUCCUCAGGAGAUUCCAUCCCUUACUUCAUUCAUUCCUUCCGUCAGCCCCGAGUGUCAGCUGUCUGCUGGGGAUUUGCUGAGGCCCAGGGGCAGACAGAUAGGCAAGCGACUGCCCUGCUCCCAAUUAAGAAACUCCCAGCCUACUGGGAGAGCUACCCCGCCCACCCGUAGAGCCACUCUAGGAGGGAAGAUGGCUAAGUGUCACCAGGGAGGAACAGAAGUGCUGUGGAGCCCGAGGAGGGGAGGGAGAGGUGGCUUUUUAAAUAGUUGUGGGUCAGGAAGCUUUAUGGAGGAAAUGGCAUUCAAGGGCCUGGAAGGAUGGGUAGGAUUUGGGCAUGAGGAAACAGAAGGAAGUGACAUAUCAACCAGUGAGGAAACAGAGCAGAGUCGUGAAGUUUGAAAUCUCAGAAAGGUUGUGCUAACUGUGCUCCCGCCAGCAAUGUACUAGUUUUCCAACAUCCUUGCCAACAUUGAGGGGUAAGCUUUAAAAAAUGUUUUCUAAUUUGGUAAAUGGGAACU
rnacentral:lncRNA from 1 species